AUUGAACGCUGGCGGCAUGCUUUACACAUGCAAGUCGAACGGUAACAGGCCUUCGGGUGCUGACGAGUGGCGAACGGGUGAGUAAUGCAUCGGAACGUGCCCAAUCGUGGGGGAUAACGUAGCGAAAGUUACGCUAAUACCGCAUAAGCCCUGAGGGGGAAAGGUGGGGGACCGCAAGGCCUCACGCGAAUGGAGCGGCCGAUGUCAGAUUAGCUAGUUGGUGGGGUAAAGGCUCACCAAGGCGACGAUCUGUAGCGGGUCUGAGAGGAUGAUCCGCCACACUGGGACUGAGACACGGCCCAGACUCCUACGGGAGGCAGCAGU
rnacentral:rRNA from 1 species